AGAGUUUGAUCCUGGCUCAGAAUGAACGCUGGCGGCGUGCUUAACACAUGCAAGUCGAACGAGAAAGUUCUUCGGAACUAGUAAAGUGGCAAACGGGUGAGUAACGCGUGAGAAUUUACCUUUUAGUGAAGGAUACUCCCGAGAAAUCGGGGUUAAUACUGCAUAAGCCUCGAAAGAGGGAAAGGCGGCCUCUUUGCUGUCGCUAAAAGAUAAGCUUGCGUCCUAUUAGCUAGUUGGUGUGGUAAAGGCGCACCAAGGCAAUGAUGGGUAACCGGCCUGAGAGGGUGUACGGUCACACUGGAACUGAGACACGGUCCAGACUCCUACGGGAGGCAGCAGUGGGGAAUAUUGCACAAUGGGCGAAAGCCUGAUGCAGCGACGCCGCGUGGAGGAAGAAGGUCUUCGGAUUGUAAACUCCUGUUAAAUGGGAAGAAAGACUUCUGGUCAAUACCCAGAGGGGAUGACGGUACCAUUAGAGAAAGCCCCGGCUAACUUCGUGCCAGCAGCCGCGGUAAUACGAAGGGAGCAAGUGUUAUUCGGAAUAACUGGGCGUAAAGGGUGCGUAGGCGGUUUAUUAAGUUGGUUGUUAAAUUUCACUGCUUAACGGUGAGCAAGCAAUCAAUACUGAUGAGCUAGAGGGUGGAAGAGAGGAGUGGAAUUCUUGGAGUAGCGGUAAAAUGCGUAGAUCUCAAGAGGAACACCAAUUGCGAAGGCAGCUCCUUGGUCCAUACCUGACGCUGAAGUACGAAAGCGUGGGGAGCAAACAGGAUUAGAUACCCUGGUAGUCC
rnacentral:rRNA from 1 species